rnacentral:rRNA from 1 species
UACGGGGGGAGCAAGCGUUGUUCGGAUUUACUGGGCGUAAAGGGCGCGUAGGCGGUCAGCACAAGUCAGUUGUGAAAUCUCCGGGCUUAACCCGGAGCGGUCAAGUGAUACUGUCGUGCUAGAGUGCGGAAGGGGCUACUGGAAUUCUCGGUGUAGCGGUGAAAUGCGUAGAUAUCGAGAGGAACACCUGCGGCGAAGGCGGGUAGCUGGGCCGACACUGACGCUGAUGCGCGAAAGCCAGGGGAGCGAACGGG